UUUUGCUUUCCUAACGACACAAAACACCCGUCGGUCAGCAGCGUGUGUGUGGUAAACUUUCGAUCGUAUAGCUGUAGAAGUCAAUAGUAACUUGAUCGGAAGCAUGACAACUGCUAUUCUUGUGUAAGGAACUCUGGAUAUUAUACAAUGGAUUGUUUAUAGGAAUUAUUGUAACCAGUAUUAUGCCUUUAAUAUCAGCGGAACAGACACGUCCACCAUCAGAACAGUUGGUGGAUCUUCAUGUUUACCUUGUACCCACAUCAUCAUGGAAUGAACAAUAUCGCAGCGUCUUCAACCAAGCUGUCAACCAAACGAUCUCGGCAGGAUUUGUCAGAGCUCAUCCUGAGGAUCAUUUAUAUAAGUUACGAGAUGAUGUUGAGGAACAGCUUGGCUCCGAUAUUAUACCGGAAGAGUAUGUUUUCCUAAGAAGUGUAGGCAGGUGCUUAACUCAGGUGAAAGGCAAACAAGAGCUUAUUCUGAAGGUUAAGAACUUUCUACCCCCAUAUAACUUUAGUGCAGAGAUAUUUGUUUUAAAAAGUAAACGAGAACCAGUCCCUCUCCCAGAUAUUAACCGAAGUAAAGAACAUUUAUUAGAAAGAAAGUAUUCUCGUACAGAAGGAACUCAAACAACUCAAUCUACAAAUAGUGGUUACCAUAGUGAUGACUGGUCAGCCAAUCAUGUCAAACCAAAAUCAACAGAUUUCUCAAUGUCCAAUCAGCAUUCAGUUUCAGUAAAAUCACAGAAUAAAAAAACCAUCAAUCCAUCAAAAAAAAAUUCUGUUAGAAAAGGUCCAAAGGGAGUAAAUAGAAAAGGUAUAACAACCUUAGGUGGAAGAACACAACAAGGAGGGGUAAGAAUACAUCAGGGUGGGAAAAUUAGUGGGAAACAUUUCAGAGAAAUGACAAACAGGAGACCUGAGAACAGAGGACUAGCAACUGCAAGGAUUUUAGAGAAAGUAUCUCAGAAUUCCAAGGCUGGUUUUGAGAGGGAAAGUUCACCUAAUGUAGGGACUAGUAAGAUUGGUAGAGGGAAGUGUCAGGGGAUGUCAUCAAACAGAAAUAUGGACAAAAACUCUAGGCUGACUGAAGGAGAAUUGAGACUAGGAAUGAGCACUGAGGACAGAUCAGCCAGGGUAGCAGCAGGGAUAGAUAGACAGGCCAAUCAUGUUAGCUUAGAGACAGUGAAGAGGCGAAUGAUCCCCCAAACUAAAGAACAGCAUGGACACAUUGCACCUCACUCAUCGCACCAGCCAAGUAACCAAGGUGAUAACCUCUCCUCUAGCUCUCAUGAUACUCACUCCUCAUUUUCAUCCUCUGGUCAUCCACCCCUUCCACCUAUAGCUACCCAUCAAUACCCCACCCCUCCCCGCUCAGAUUCUCCCUCCCAUAAACAUAAAACAAAAUCUCAGCAGUAUGAUUUAGCCUCAAGAUCUCAGGAUUCUCUGCCCCGGUUUUUAAGCCCUGAACAAAAUGAUCACAUAUUUCCCACACAAGAUGUGGAAGAACAAUCACCACGGUCCCAGGCCCCCACUAAUAGUAAUCAGGAUUAUAGGCCCCCAUUAAGUGCAACUCCGCCUGAUUCUCCCUUAUAUAAUGUAGCCCCAACUCUUUUAACAAACAAAAUGGAAAUUCCAGAACCCAGGAAGGCUUUAGACAAGUCUGGCUGGAGGGAUACGUACACUAACGGAACAAAUGAAGACUCUGGAAUUGCUGAACCAACACCGGAGGAAGACCUAGGAUUCCACCAGCAACAUCAUAACUUACUAGAAAGUAGUGAGGUGAUAGACCAGCACUCAGAUAAUGGAAACAUGAUUGUUCUGCAUCACAACCAGGAAGAACCUCAUCGGACAGAGCAGAGGAGGCGUUUCCAUGACGACGAUAAUUCUUCCAAAGCCAUUGAAGAGAAAACUGUUCAUGAUUUCCAAAUGAAUUAUGAAAAAUUUUUGGAAGAUGAAGAGAAUAGGAAAGAACUUGAAAACCUUCAGCUGAUGAGGGAACAAAAUGCCCAGAAUGUUGCUGAUGUCCGAAGGAAGAAAGAAGAGAUGCAGCGAGCAAUGUCUCGCAGAGCACGAGAACUCGCAAGUCAGAAUUCUCACGAUACUAAGCAAUAUCAAGUUAAUGAGAUUGAACCCUAUGAGGGGAGUAGUUUUGCCAGCAAAGAAGUGUCACAGUAUGAAGACAUUACAGGUCAUGAUAACAUUGAGCCAGAACAUUUAAUGGAUGAGCAAAGAGAUUUGAACCAAGAAUCAUGGUCUGAUGGUCAGCCAUCAACAUUGACAGAAAAGGAAUUAUUACAAAAACUACGAAAAAAUGAAGCAGAAAAAAACAGGAUGGCUUUGGAAGCAAUACAAAUAGAAGAUUCUGCCAAGGAACACUCCUUCUUAAAGAAGGGUAAAAAAAAGGGAAUAUCAUCAGUAGUAGAAAAGCAGCACCAAGACACCCCAUCAUCAGCAGAAGCAUCAGCAGUGUCGUCAAGACCAGGCCAUCAAACUAAUCAGCCCAACAAGAACAAAGACUGUAACCAACUUCUAUUGGAUUUGGAAGAAAUGCGAGAACAAAGGCUUGCGAUUGAGCAGCGCAGGGAGGAUUUAGUAAGAAAGGCAAAAACACUGCAAAGCCGUACGCAGGAUAGGAGGAAUAAAGGUAAACCAUUACCCCUUUUGGAAGAGAAGCAAGGGAUUAUUGGAAAAAGCAAUACUUUGAAGAGAAGAAGUUGACAAAUCCUUUGGAGGACCACAUCAAUAAACUCCGGCAACAAGUAGAACAAGCACAUCGCAAACUGAUCACAAUGAUGGAAGGACGAAUGCAAGCAAAGAAAAUUCCACCAUCUCAAAAGAACAAUCACAAGAUUAACAUUGCUAAGAGUCAGCACGAUCUUGAGGAUUUAAGACGACGAGUUGAGAAUGCCAAGAUGAGACUUACGUCAGAAAUGAAG
rnacentral:misc_RNA from 1 species